rnacentral:lncRNA from 1 species
UCAUGGAUAAUUGCAGAUACCACAAAAUUGUAGAUGUAGAUACAGUUCUUAAUUCUCUCUCUCUCUCUCUCUCUCUUUCUUUCUUGAUCCUCUUGCCUUUGUUUAAACAGUUUCUUUUACUCUUGAACAAAACAGGCGGGCAAACGACCACCAUUGACGGAUGAAUUGGAAACGUUGGCAUCAAUGCAUGAGCCAGCAGCGACAGGGUCUGGCUCAGAGUUGGCAGGACCUGAGGCUGAAUCAGAAACUCUUAGAUUCCUUAUUGAUUUGUUCCGGCAAUGCACAGAGGGAAGUCCAGCUAAUCGCCCUACAGCAGCAGAAAUCUAUGAAUUGUUGCGUGUGCAUACAGGUGCUUUCACUAGUUCACAGAGCUAGGUAUAUGUUUAGAUUAACCUUUAGGUAAUAACUUGCUUCGGCUCUGAAAUUUUUGUAGCCCUAGGAUGUUGUUUUACAAUAUUUAAUAUUUAUUCGAGGAUCCAAUUGUCCGCAUUUCUCCUUGAGUUAUACCAUCAUUGUAGUUUUAGGCUUAGGUAGCUUUCAGCUUUAUCUUUCCGAGUAAUGUCCAGGAUUAGAUACAAAAUUGGUAAUUGCUGCCUUUGUAAUCUAAUUAAGAUCUGUAAAUUUUGUAGGUAGGUAUAUUUUCGAUUGUGCAAUGCUUAGGCGUCACCAUACUUGUCCAUUGUAAGUUGAACUGUUUAAUUUAUUAGAGCUCUCCAAUUUUGACUUAUUAGCAGCUUUGGAUUAACUUAACCCAGCUUGGAAUAUUGAGGACUUAUUAUGCUGGCGAAAACACGAUGUACUUAUACACGUUAUGGUAGUUGUUUGAAUUAAUUUUUAUUUAUAUAUUGAUUGUAUUGUGUUUAGGGCAGGGGCUAACAGGAGUUGCCCCUUCUUCUUGAGGUAAAGUUAUUGGCAACUGAUGGAGUACUCUGUUGAGUUCAUCUCCCCGGUUUUAGUGCAAGACAGAUAAUUUAUGCUGGUAUUAUGGGAAAGUGUGUUUUUUUGUGGUUCUAGGGUUCAGGUUUAUAAGGUUAGUUGCAAAUUCUCUUGUCCAGCUCGGGUUUAUGUUGAUUAUUUCAUAGGGUGAAUUACUAUUAGUCCUUUGAUUAUAUUCAAAUACAGAGUCAGAUCCCUAUUAAUUUUGUAGUUACACGGUUUCAUAUUUGUCAUGACUUUAUUAUUUUGUUAAUUGCUAGUGAAAUAUUGUUACCUUCUUUGAUGAAUGCACAGGUGAAUGUUAUCAUGUCUAUAACUGCGUGAGGUUCCUCACAAGUUGUAUGCUAAGUAGAAGAAUGAAUUCAUGAACAUAGAAUUCUUAGUUACGUUCUUAUAAGUUUCUGCUGUAAAUUAUACUUUUUAUGACCUUGAUUUGAGAAAAGAGAUGCUGGGAGGAAAACUAGGAUUCUCAUCGUUGUAGUAAAAUAAUGUGAGGAGCUGCCAUGCAGAACUCUAAUCACCAUGUUUAUCAUGGCAUUUUUUUUUUUUUGGUUUGUUUAUACUGUAAAACUUAAUUGAUUUGUCAUCCAGUUUCAUUUGGAAAAAUAGAAAGUGGUGCAGACCACUUGCUGCACAACCUCAAUGAUGGUUUUGUUUGGAAAGAUCAUAUGCUGUUUUAUAUAUUUGCAAGAAUCUUUGAUGCAUUUGAUUAUGCAAUAUUUUUUUUGGAUAUUAUAUAAUGUGACUUCUAUCUGGUUGUAGGAGGUGGAUAUUUGGUCAUAUGGAUGCCUACUUUUGGAAUUAUUGACCUUGCAAGUUCCUUAUUCUGGUUUAUCUGAAUUCCACAUUAAUGAACUACUUCAGGUUUGUCUCAUGGAUAAUUGCAGAUACCACAAAAUUGUAGAUGUAGAUACAGUUCUUAAUUCUCUCUCUCUCUCUCUCUCUCUUUCUUUCUUGAUCCUCUUGCCUUUGUUUAAACAGUUUCUUUUACUCUUGAACAAAACAGGCGGGCAAACGACCACCAUUGACGGAUGAAUUGGAAACGUUGGCAUCAAUGCAUGAGCCAGCAGCGACAGGGUCUGGCUCAGAGUUGGCAGGACCUGAGGCUGAAUCAGAAACUCUUAGAUUCCUUAUUGAUUUGUUCCGGCAAUGCACAGAGGGAAGUCCAGCUAAUCGCCCUACAGCAGCAGAAAUCUAUGAAUUGUUGCGUGUGCAUACAGGUGCUUUCACUAGUUCACAGAGCUAGGUAUAUGUUUAGAUUAACCUUUAGGUAAUAACUUGCUUCGGCUCUGAAAUUUUUGUAGCCCUAGGAUGUUGUUUUACAAUAUUUAAUAUUUAUUCGAGGAUCCAAUUGUCCGCAUUUCUCCUUGAGUUAUACCAUCAUUGUAGUUUUAGGCUUAGGUAGCUUUCAGCUUUAUCUUUCCGAGUAAUGUCCAGGAUUAGAUACAAAAUUGGUAAUUGCUGCCUUUGUAAUCUAAUUAAGAUCUGUAAAUUUUGUAGGUAGGUAUAUUUUCGAUUGUGCAAUGCUUAGGCGUCACCAUACUUGUCCAUUGUAAGUUGAACUGUUUAAUUUAUUAGAGCUCUCCAAUUUUGACUUAUUAGCAGCUUUGGAUUAACUUAACCCAGCUUGGAAUAUUGAGGACUUAUUAUGCUGGCGAAAACACGAUGUACUUAUACACGUUAUGGUAGUUGUUUGAAUUAAUUUUUAUUUAUAUAUUGAUUGUAUUGUGUUUAGGGCAGGGGCUAACAGGAGUUGCCCCUUCUUCUUGAGGUAAAGUUAUUGGCAACUGAUGGAGUACUCUGUUGAGUUCAUCUCCCCGGUUUUAGUGCAAGACAGAUAAUUUAUGCUGGUAUUAUGGGAAAGUGUGUUUUUUUGUGGUUCUAGGGUUCAGGUUUAUAAGGUUAGUUGCAAAUUCUCUUGUCCAGCUCGGGUUUAUGUUGAUUAUUUCAUAGGGUGAAUUACUAUUAGUCCUUUGAUUAUAUUCAAAUACAGAGUCAGAUCCCUAUUAAUUUUGUAGUUACACGGUUUCAUAUUUGUCAUGACUUUAUUAUUUUGUUAAUUGCUAGUGAAAUAUUGUUACCUUCUUUGAUGAAUGCACAUAUGGCGUAAAAGCAAAUAAGAGAGAAUUACUAUUUAAUUUA